rnacentral:rRNA from 1 species
AGAUCGUGGCCGCUCUGACGCGGGCACGGUCGAAGCAAAAGUGAUAAGUGCACCGCCUGGGGAGUACGGUCGCAAGGCUAAAACUCAAAGGAAUUGACGGGGGCUCACACAAGCGGUGGAGCAUGUGGCUUAAUUCGAAGCAACGCGAAGAACCUUAUCCUGGGUUGAACUACGACGGAUUAACUGCUGGAAACAGCAGUGACGCGCUUGCGUGGAACGUCGAUAGGUGCUGCAUGGCUGUCGUCAGCUCGUGCUGUGAAGUGUCGCGUUAAGUCGCUUAACGAGCGAAACCCCUAUCGCUAGUUGCCAGCGGGUAAAGCCGGGGACUCUAGCGAGACUGCCGGCGUUAAGCCGGAGGAAGUGGGGAUGACGUCAAGUCCUCAUGGCCUUUAUGCCCAGGGCUGCACACGUGCUACAAUGCCGACUACAGAGCGAAGCGAUACCGCAAGGUGGAGCAAAUCGCAAAAAAGUCGGCCCAGUUCGGAUUGCGGUCUGCAACUCGACCGCAUGAAGUUGGAAUCGCUAGUAAUCGCGUAUCAGCUACGACGCGGUGAAUAUGUUCCUGAGCUUGUACACACCGCCCGUCAAGUCAUGGAAGCUGGGGGGACCCGAAGCCGCAUCAUUUCAGAUGUGUCGAAGUCACUCGGCUG